UGACCAAGUUAAACGGCCGCGGUACUCUAACCGUGCAAAGGUAGCACAAUCAAUUGUUCUUUAAAUGAGGACUAGAAUCAACGGCAUCACGAGGAUCCUACUGUCUCCCCCCUCUAAUCAGUGAAAUUGAUCUCCCCGUGAAGAAGCGGGGAUAUAAAUAUAAGACGAGAAGACCCCAUGGAGCUUUAAACCUACAACACCCAUCUAUUUUAUACCCCUAUAUUUAUAUGACUAUGUUUGUUUGGUUUUAGGUUGGGGUGACCACGGAGUAUAAAACAACCUCCAUGAAGAAAAGACUAAUAAUCUUUAUCAAAGAAAUACAUUUCUAAGAAUUAAUACAUUAACUUUUAAUGAUCCAAUAUUUGAUCAACGAACCAAGUUACCCUGGGGAUAACAGCGCAAUCCACCUUAAGAGCCCCUAUCGACAGGUGGGUUUACGACCUCGAUGUUGGAUCAGGGUGUCACAGUGGUGCAGCANCUACUAAUGGUUCGUUUGU
rnacentral:rRNA from 1 species